GACGAACGCUGGCGGCGUGCCUAAUACAUGCAAGUCGAGCGAGCGGCGGACGGGUGAGUAAUGUCUGGGAAACUGCCUGAUGGAGGGGGGUAACUACUGGAAACGGUAGCUAAUACCGCAUACCCUCAGAUGUGCCCAGAUGGGAUUAGCUAGUAGGUGGGGUAACGGCGCACCUAGGCGACGAUCCCUAGCUGGUUUGGGAGGAUGACCAGCCACACUGGAACGGAGACACGGUCCAGACUCCUACGGGAGGCAGCAGUGGGGAAGAUUGCACAAUGGGCGCAAGCCGGAUGCAGCCAUGCCGCGGGUGUGAAGAAGGCCUUCGGGUUGUAAAGCACGUUCAGCGGGGAGGCGUUACCCGCAGAAGAAGCACCGGCUAACUCCGUGCCAGCAGCCGCGGUAAUAC
rnacentral:rRNA from 1 species